GCGCCACGUGUUAUCCUCUUGCAGAGUGAGAGAGAGAGCAACUCCUCCAAAUUGGGCAACUUUUUUCGCAUCGUGCCUUCACUACCACGCCAAGAGUGCUGUAUAAUUUGGCAGCGAUCGCAUUUUAAUAACGGCGUGAUUGCAGCUGGCCAAGCGUAAUUGCAGCGCGAUAUGCUAAGCGCUUCGCGCUGAAAAAGCCGCGGCACGUUUCCACCGAUGCUGCUUCACUCCUGAGCACGCGGGUGGCCUUUCGAACCAACUUUUCCUUUCGAUUUGCUCAAACGGAGUGCCUCGAGUCUCCAGUUCGUUUUUCUUACGUUUGCGUAUCGAGGCAUCGUUUGGUUUUCAAUUUUCUGCAUAAUGAACAUCAUUUACAAGUACAUCUUCGGAAUGGCUGAAUCCAUUUGAUGGAGGGCAGUCUCAUUCGAAAGGAUAUGCUUCCAAGCUGGUUUCAUAUAUCAUUUACAAAAAUACAUCCGAGCUAAUACUAACGAAAUCUGUCAAAAC